rnacentral:rRNA from 1 species
CAGCCGCCGCGGUAAUACGUAGGUGGCAAGCGUUGUCCGGAAUUAUUGGGCGUAAAGGGCUCGCAGGCGGUCUCUUAAGUCUGAUGUGAAAGCCCCCGGCUCAACCGGGGAGGGUCAUUGGAAACUGGGAAACUUGAGUGCAGAAGAGGAGAGUGGAAUUCCACGUGUAGCGGUGAAAUGCGUAGAGAUGUGGAGGAACACCAGUGGCGAAGGCGACUCUCUGGUCUGUAACUGACGCUGAGGAGCGAAAGCGUGGGGAGCGAACAGGAUUAGAUACCCCCGUAGUCCCUGUCUCUUAUAC